rnacentral:lncRNA from 1 species
GUCUUGGUUCAGGGCUGUGCACAGAAAGCAAACCCUGAAUGAGAGAGGAGGAAGUAAAAGUCCAUUUAAAUACACUACACGUUCCAUCAUUCAGACAGACAACACCUUCAACUCAUGCUUAACUUGGCAAAUUGUCAUUAGAUACAGAUAAUCAUCAAUGGAUCUUGUAGCGUCAUUUACGGGCAGUUCCCAGAAGGAAGAUGACAUUUCAAACCAAAUGGAGUUCAAAAUUUCUGCUGCUCAUUCGUAAACUGCUUGUGGCCUAACUCAGUUCCCAAGAGUCCUGUUAGUAAUUCUGCCUUUGUCUUUUUCUUUCCUUUUACUUUAGCAUUGGAGCCCCAAGGGCUCACCAUCAGCAUAGACUCUUCUCACCAAUACCUUACCUACCUGGGAUCUGUUGUAUGAGAAAUUCAGAAACCCCCUUUUUGCAUAAGGAAACCAUCAGGAGCUAAAUCAUUUUUUUACAUACAAAGCUAAGUGGUUUUCAAUAUUACAUGUUAACUACAGACCUUCAUUAUGGAAAAUGUUGUGCCUCUGGACUUACGGCAACCUCAAAAUAUUUCAACCUCAAAAUAUUUCGGACAAACCAUUAAGUUUACUUGUAAAUGGAAGCUAAAAGCCUACAUUUUCCAGUAUAUCAUUGAGAAUUGUCUUGAGCUGCAAGUAACAGAAAACUUCUCUACGGUUGCUUAGCUACAUAGAGAUUUGUUUAAUUCUCAACAUAAUGAAGAAUCCAGAGCUCUUCAACUGAUUGGAGGAUGUCCACUCACAUUGGAGAGGGCAAUCUGCUUUUCUCAAAGUUCAGCCACUCAAAUGUUCAUUCAUCCAGAAAUGCCCUUGAAGAUACACACAAUAUAACAUCUGGCCAAAUAUCUGGGCACCCUGUGGCCCAGAUUGACACAUAAAAUUAAACCUCACCAUCUUGCCUAGGGGAAGGAUUUUCUCAUCAUAAAUGCCAUU